rnacentral:rRNA from 1 species
UACGAAGGGGGCUAGCGUUGCUCGGGAUCACUGGGCGUAAAGCGCACGUAGGCGGACUCUUAAGUCGGUGGUGAAAUCCUGGAGCUCAACUCCAGAACUGCCUUCGAUACUGAGAGUCUCGAGUCCGGGAGAGGUGAGUGGAACUGCGAGUGUAGGGGUGAAAUUCGUAGAUAUUCGCAAGAACACCAGUGGCGAAGGCGGCUCACUGGCCCGGUACUGACGCUGAGGUGCGAAAGCGUGGGGAGCAAACAGG